UACGUAGGGUGCGAGCGUUAAUCGGAAUACUGGGCGUAAAGCGUGCGCAGGCGGUGAUGUAAGACAGAUGUGAAAUCCCCGGGCUCAACCUGGGAACUGCAUUUGUGACUGCAUCGCUGGAGUGCGGCAGAGGGGGGGUAGAAUUCCACGUGUAGCAGUGAAAUGCGUAGAUAUGUGGAGGAACACCGAUGGCGAAGGCAGCCCCCUGGGUCAAGACUGACGCUCAUGCACGAAAGCGUGGGGAGCAACAGG
rnacentral:rRNA from 1 species